AUGCUCACUUCAGCAGCAUAUAUACUAAAAUUGGAAUGAUACAGAGAAGAUUAGCAUGAUCCCUGUGUAAGGAUGACACACAAAUUCAUGAAGCAUUCCAUAUUUUU
ensembl:snRNA U6 U6 spliceosomal RNA